rnacentral:misc_RNA from 3 species
GUGGGAGGGGGCUUGCCCCCGAUUACGGUAGAUCAGCUGACACCUAUGUGGCUGACACACUGCAAUCGGGGGCAAGCCCCCUCCCAC